rnacentral:lncRNA from 1 species
AAUUUGAAUACUGUAUUAAUGAAGGAUGUUCUUGUAAUCACAUACUUGCGUUGCUCAGGUUUCAUUACUGUAUGAUAAGGUGUUUUUCUCUAACUUAACUAUUACUGACUUCCUGUUUCUUUUAUUGGUUAAGCAGUCUAAAACUUGGAACAUUUUUUUAGCAGAGUCAACAGUGAAGACUACCAGAUGAUUUUGUAUUGAAGAGAAAAGUAAUGUCUAAAUUGUGAAUUUCAAUGCAUUAUAAGGUGCCUUCGGAGUCAGCUUUUGCAUUAUAGGGGCUUGUUACAGUCCAGCUAAGAUGACCACUUACAGUUUAUACAGAAUUCAUAUGUAUAAAUCAACAUUCUUGGGAUAUUACUAUAUAUCCUUUGAAUACACCCCUGUGAAGUACUUCCUCCCCCCCCAAAAUGGUGCAUAACAUAAACAUGAAAUGUGUAGUAUACAGAUACCGUUUAUUAUUAAAUAGUUUAUAGUGUAUAAAUUUAGAACAUUUCUUUUUGACAAGAGGUGAACUGAUGGCUAAUUUACCAUUUAAUUCUGUCAGAAACAGGCAAAGCAGUUUCU